rnacentral:rRNA from 1 species
GGGUAAGUAGGUUGGUCGUGCCACCGGUACGUACUGGUCUCACUGAUUCCUCCUUCCUGAAGAACCGUAAUGCCAUUAAUUUGGUGUUGCGGGGAAACAGGACUGUUACUUUGAAAAAAUUAGAGUGUUUAAAGCAAGCUAACGCUUGAAUACAUUAGCAUGGAAUAAUGAAAUAGGACGAUCGAUCCUAUUUUGUUUGUUUCUAGGAUUGACGUA